rnacentral:rRNA from 1 species
CCUACGGGAGGCAGCAGUGAGGAAUAUUGGUCAAUGGACGAGAGUCUGAACCAGCCAAGUAGCGUGAAGGAUGACUGCCCUAUGGGUUGUAAACUUCUUUUAUAUGGGAAUAAAAUGUUCCACGUUUGGGAUUUUGUAUGUACCCUAUGAAUAAGGAUCGGCUAACUCCGUGCCAGCAGCCGCGGUAAUCCGGAGGAUCCGAGCGUUAUCCGGAUUUAUUGGGUUUAAAGGGAGCGUAGGUGGAUUGUUAAGUCAGUUGUGAAAGUUUGCGACUCAACCGUAAAAUUGCAGUUGAAACUGGCAGUCUGGAGUACAGUAGAGGUGGGCGGAAUUCGUGGUGUAGCGGUGAAAUGCUUAGAUAUCACGAAGAACUCCGAUUGCGAAGGCAGCUCACUGGACUGCAACUGACACUGAGGCUCGAAAGUGUGGGUAUCAAACAGGAUUAGAUACCCGAGUAGUC